AGCACAGCGAGAUACGACAGCGUUUCAUUUGGGUCAUGUAAAUUUCGCAUAAACCCGGAACCCACAGGAAGCUAAACCCAUCAUUUCUUUGCACAGAGCCGUCAGAGCGACCGAGCCAAUUUGCAAAUGGCGGAUUCCUUACCCGAAGACGUGAUAGUUCGAAUCCUGGAGAGGUUGCCGAUCAAAUCCCUGAUCCGCUUCACCUGCGUUUCGAAACGCUGGCGUUUCAUCAUACUCUGUGACCCAGAAUUCGCCAAGGCCCAAUUCCAAAUAGCUUCUCACCACCAAACCCUCCGUCACAGGCUCCUCAUCUCCACCGCCUGUGAAUCUGAAUUCAACUCACUAGACUUGGAUGCGCCGCCGUCCCCGUCGGGAUACAAUUCUUCAGUUAGGUGCCCAUUCACGCAACCGGGGGGCCAUCCUGUCAGACUACUGUGCUCCUGCAAAGGUUUGAUACUUGCACUUGUUUGUAAUCAAGAAAACGACAUGUAUAUCUGGAACCCAUCAAGUCAAUUCUUCAAAAAAUUACCUGACCCAGCUGAUCUUCCCUCAAAAACUUGUCUGCCCUGCUAUGGUUUUGGCUAUUUGUCGGCCACUGACGACUACAAAGUUAUUGCCAGCUUCAAAGUCAGUGUUGCUGAUGAUGAGAUGGAGGAGAAUGGCAGCAGCAAGGAAAUGCACAUCUUCUCAUCAAAAGCCAACACUUGGAAAAGGACUGAAGCCCCUCUCGACUUCGACUUCGACUUCUACUCCGACUCUGAUUUUGGGGGGACUCUUUCAAAUGAGGCACUUCAUUGGCUGGAUGACGAGGACGACGGACCUGGCAUCUUUGCUUUUGAUCUAGCAAAGGAGGAGUUCCAAAGAAUGCCGCUGCCUAUUCUACUAGAUGGUGAGGUUUCGUAUCUCAGGGCUUUCCGAGACUCUCUGUGUGUGUUUGAUUUUGAAAAUCUUGUUCCUGCUAGCUCCAUUGAUUUGUGGGUGAUGCAAAAAUAUGGCGUGGCUGACUCAUGGACCAACCUCUUUAACUUCAAGGUUUCCAAUCAGCUUGGGGACAUAUAUUAUUGUUUGCCAGUCUCGGUAAUGGAAACUAGUACAUUUCUGCACAAAGUGACUAGAUUCCGUGAUGGGAAUUUUAUAGAUUUGAUAAGGAUUGGUCAUACGGAACAGAAGCCUGAAAUGCAUAUGUUGAGCAGGAAUACAGGUCUCAUGGAAAUGAUUGAAUAUGAAGAGACUCUACUUUGGCUUGGUUGUGACUUUUAAGUGGCUAUAAAGCCAUCACCACACUUUGAUAUGUUCAUGCUUUAGUCUGUGUUUGUGCUUGCUAUGAACCGCAUUAGGGAGCAAAGGCUAUUGCCUCUUUUGAAACAGAGAAAGCGCACAUGGCAUUCGCUACUGCCCCUUAAAUAGAAGGAAGGCAAAGGCAAGUCUGUGGACCGGAUGAAGUGGAUGCGUCUUGAAGAACCCUAGAGUACACUGUUGCAAGCAAGGUGCCAUUUAGUGAUAACAAAAUAUUCUCCUGGCAUAUUGUAAUUAGAGGUCAAGUAGCCUCGUCUGUCUCUAACUCUGAUAUAUAAUAUUUUUCAUUUACAUGAAAAUGAUAUGUUAUUACCUUGUUA